rnacentral:sRNA from 1 species
CAGAUCUUGGACGUAAUGGCCCACCUUUGUGGAGAGUUGAACCGUUGUAGGGCAUGCCCGUAAGCGAAAAUGAGGGAUCCCUCAUUCAUAGCCUCAAUUAUAGGGUCCGGUUGGCGCCCUCCAGUCACCACCCUGCUCGCCAUUGCAGGCAUUUCUUUUAAGCAUAUUUUAAGCAUGUACCACUGGACAGGGGGUGCGCGGGAAUUUAUUUCGGGGAAUCAGUUUUCGUCCGUUUCUUGAAGACAAAGUUUGCCUCAAACACUGGAGAUCCUGAAG